ACGGCCGACCCGGAUCAAUAAAUAAUGAGGCUAGCGCAUGUAGUGUGAUAACAUCCGACACUUUUACGCCUAGUUUCUCACUUAUAGAGAUUCAUGCCCAAAGAGACGGAGCUGGUAAAUGUUAUGCCGGUUGUUCAUACCAAAGCUAGAGGCCAUAUGCGAUUGAUUGUGCAAAUUAGACCACGCACUUGGAUGUCAUUCUAAUGAGAGUGAGAUAGUGACAGCUUGGAUUAUGCC
rnacentral:lncRNA from 1 species